UGAUUAGGUAUGCUAUGUAGGACA
rnacentral:piRNA from 1 species